CGCAGGGAACCCCACAGAGUGACGACACAGCGCACACAGACGCGGCGUGACCUGCCGGAAGUGCAACACGCCCAAACCGAAAGGAAAGCGAAAAUGGCGGCCACGAACUCGCGCGUGUUCUUUGAUGUGCACUUCAUCUCUUUCCACGACGACAACCUCCCUGGGACCGCCAUCACGGAUCCAAAGGCCCCCACAUCGUUUGUGCUCACCACGGGCGGCUUCCCGCAGGAGGUAAUUGUGCAGACACGCGCCGCCUCGGCAAAGAUCUCGAAGCUGUCCGUGGCCCUGAAUGACGCGAAGGACAUUCUGGUUGAAAAGUGCUGCGGGGAGACGCCGACGGCGUUCGAAGUCAUGGCAGAGCGCACCCUUGCGCGCGGUUCCGUCGGGGGCAGCAGCAGCAACCCCAGCGCAGCAGCUGCGGCGGCGGACGGUGGCGUCGGUGGCCCGCAGACCGAGACGUUCGACUUAGACCCCGAAGGCGCUGGGCGUGAUAUCCGCUUCAUCCGACUCACCAUUCUCUCCGGCUACAGCGAGUUUGUCGCGGUCUACAGCAUCGAUGCGUGGGGAGAGGAGUCCCAGCAGCGUGUCGCCGUCCUUCAGAGCAAGCCGGAAGUUGUAAUGUAGAGUUGGCCAGUGCUGCGCUGGCAUGCGUGGACUUGGGCGAGCUGACUAGCGUGCAAGUGGAAGGCCGGCACACACUAAUGCGUUCUCGUAGAAAGGGCGCCUUUGUAGGUUCGUCUCUCCUUCCUCUUGAUGCGCUCACAGCACACGCACCCACACACCCUCGCGCAAGCCGACAGAGGGGGGGAGAUGGGCAUGUUCUCAAACCAAGUUGUGUUGCAUGUGUAUGUGUGCAUGGUGUGCACAGUUGAGUCAGCGCUGUGAUGGCAGUCGUGGUGCUUCCGGUGGGGGUGCCUCGUAGGUACAUGUAUAUAUGCCAUGGCCGUGAGCAGCAAAGUAAAGCGAAGAGCCGGGCAAGCCCCCUCUCCGCCUUUCAUACACGCACGAGGGCGCACACGCACACACACACACACACCGUGAACGAUCAAGGAACUGAAGCUGGAAACAGAAAACGCGCCGAAGAGCGUGACACACCAAGGAAUGCGCGUCGCGCCUCGACCCCUCACCUCCCCACCACCACCACCACCUCCUCCUUCGCUGCUCACCCGAAGGGUGCCGACGCGACUGUUACGGAUGGCCCGCAUGGCUCCGAUUACAUUUCCGCGGCGUACGGUGCGGGGAGGUGAAGGUAGUGAUGUGCGUGCCAUCACCCUUACCUCGCAGCAACAUGCAAUGUCGCCUACCUGCACACGCCUCCGCCUCGUCAAUCCUUGCUCCAAGGGAGAAAGAGACGAGGGUUAGAAAAAGUAUUCGAAAGGUGCAUCACACCCUCGAAGCACCGCAGCCUUCCCCCCCCCCUCUUCCCUUCCAUCUCACACCGUGAUUGAUGCGCGCGUUGCCAUCUUGUCUCUCAUCCCCGUUCUGCGUCUUGCCGGUCUCUCCGCUUAUCUUACCCCACCACCGCCACCGCUCAUCGUCACCGGCCAUCACUGUGUUCGGUGUCAACGUGUUUCGGAGUCGAGCGCACGCGGACGGCAUCCCUCAUCGUCCGCGUUGUACCAAAACAG
rnacentral:misc_RNA from 1 species